UACGUAGGGGGCUAGCGUUGUCCGGAAUCAUUGGGCGUAAAGCGCGCGUAGGCGGCCAGAUAAGUCCGGUGUGAAAUUCCUGGGCUCAACCUUGGAACUGCCUUUGAUACUGGGGAUCUUGAGUCCGGGAGAGGUGAGUGGAACUGCGAGUGUAGAGGUGAAAUUCGUAGAUAUUCGCAAGAACACCAGUGGCGAAGGCGGCUCACUGGCCCGGUACUGACGCUGAGGUGCGAAAGCGUGGGGAGCAAACAGGG
rnacentral:rRNA from 1 species